ensembl:lncRNA
UUUCUUUUCUUGCCAAAGUUUUUUGUUUCUUUUUUUUUUUCUUUUUUGAAAAGGCAAGCGCUUCUGGCUUAUAAUGUUAGUUCCAGACAUUCUUUGAGCUUGGUUUGUGCUCUACCAGUAAGCUUUUAUUAUAUUUUUUAGCUUUUUAAAAACUUCAUAUUGCCAAAGUGCAUUUAGUUGCCUAGCAAAGUGUGCCUUUAACUCAUAAUCAAGAACAACAAAGUGGCAGCAAAGAUAGAAACCAAAUUAAAACAAAGCCAUGGAAAAUAUGUAGUGAUCUGGUUUCUAGAUAAUAUUUAAUUGCAUCUGUUUGAGACAGCACCUCUUAUAGCAGUGGAUCAUCAGAGCAGCUAAAGUAAUACUGUACAUGCUAGCCAUUAUAAAAAAGCCAGACUAUUUAAAGUCUCCCUUAUCGCUCAGCUAUUCUGUGUAACCGAGCCUCCUACACUCUGUUUCAUAUGUGUAUUUUUACCUGGCAAUCAAAAGUAUUAAUUUAUGAAAGCUAGUAGCUUUCAGACAUGCUCUAACUUUGGCAGUGAGAACUUACAUAGCUUGUCCUAGAUCUAACAAAGAGUCAGAGUCAGAUACCUAACUCAGGAGUUUUAAAUCAAGUUCUUUGAUUUCAUCACAAAACAGCAUUCUUUACCCACUAUAUAUUGUCUCAGUGUUAAUUAAAGAGUAUGCUGUGCAAUUCUACAAACUCUACACAGCUAGACAAGAAUUACUUUUUGAGAUCAUGAUUCAAAAGCUUAUGAUUAUUCACUUUACCUCCCUUUUGUGUUAAGAAACCAAAGCAACACUAAAAACUUAGCCAAAUGUUUUUCAUAUAUAUAAAAAUAUACAUAUUAUAUAUUAAGAUAUGUAAUUAAGAUAUACAAUAUUACGCAUAUUAAGACUCCAAGAGAAAGUACAUUUCAAAUUUUCAUGCAAAUAAAUAUAUAAUUUCAUACAUGUUUCUACUCUUGAAAAAGUCCCAAGAUAAAACAGAACAAAAAUGCUUCAUAGUAUUAGAAGGAAGAAGAAAACAAACCAAGCCCUGGAUACACUUUGUAGAUUGUAUCAUUAGCUUGUGAGGUGUCUUUUGUUUACCAGUGAUUUGGCCUAGAAAGUCUAGAUUUCAAACACUUUUUUAUAUAGGACUUACAUAUAAUUUACAAUGGAAUAUGUGCAAAAUUAAAAGGAAACAGUAGCACAGUACUGCAAUACUUGUAUUACAAAUAAACUCAAAAUAUUUAUUAAUCCUAUUUCCCUUCCUAGCUAGCCUCUCUGUUGAUCCCAGAGAGAAACACGAGUUGCAGUGCACCAAUGAGUCACCAUCCAUGCAUUUGUAUCCUGCCAACCAGCUGUGUUCAGCAAAACCUUAACUGUAACUUAGUAUAAGGGACACAGUUGUAAAAAUAAUUAGGGUUUUAGCAUCAGAAGAGGAGCUACAUUUUACCACCUCAAUCCUUUCCCCAAAAUAUCACCCAAACUGCAUCCAAACCCAAGCUAAAACUGUUCUUAUCAAGAUCAAAAAUCUAAAAUACUGUUCACUCAACAGUAACUUUUGACAUAUAACUUUUUUUGUUACUAUAAAUAAAAUACAAGACUAUUAAAAGAGAUUUUUCACAAAACUUCUGGGAAAAAAAAAUCAAAACACUUUAUUUUCCAAUAGUCAACACUUACAAGUGAUUUCUACUCCUUCCUCCCAUGGGUAUUCAGGUGAGUAACCUAGUGGCCAAAUGAGAAUAUAUUACCUGGAGACAUUUAAUCCCUUCUGAUAUAAGAAUUUUACUUUGCAUAUAUAAAUAAAAGUUCAUGCAUCAGAGAAUCAGAGACUGAAACUCACAUAUCUUAUUUUCUAGGCCAGCAGCUGGGAAUCAUUAUUACUUUUAAGUUGUUUUAUAAAAAACAUAAUAGCUUCAACAGCAACGUGUUAGGUCAAAUUCUGUAGCUUUAUUGGCAAGGACAGCAAAUUAACAAUAAAUCACCAUUCAAAACACUGAGCUAGGCAUGAAGUAGAUUAAUAUUUUAAGUGACUGUACCAAACAUUUCAAUUGCUUUACAAGAUUAUGCUUUAAAAGUAUCAAAGGCUUAAUGGUAAGUUGCAAUGACACUUUUCAGUAGUUUUAAAAGACAUACUGUUGAAGCCUAGUUUCCUUACUCCUGCUUAAGCAUUUUAAUCCUGAAAUAUUAUACCUCUGAAGCAGCCUUAGAAGAACCCUAACAAUUUUAUGUAUAAGCAACACACCCAGACCACCUGAAAUAACAGAAAAAGUAGGGAGGUUUCUUCACAGAUUUGUUUGUGUUGGAAUCUCAUGAAACGUGAUCAGCACAUCCACUACAUUCAUGAGAUUACAUAAAAUCUUACCUAUUUUCAAAGCUGUUCAGCUUUACCAAUAUGGAGGUGAAAAUAGUUCCACAGUCAGUAUUAAAGCAUGGAGUUUACAUAUAGUUCAAGAACAACUUUGGCCAAAAAAAAAAAAAACAAUUAAAAAAAAAAAAAAAAAACAAAAACCAAGACCAAGGAGGAUUAAAAAACAUCAGCAGCACCUGGAUCCGACAGUUUCUUCAAAUUACAGUUCCUGUAGCUUUUUCUAUUAUUAGCAGAUUAAACCAGUAGGAGAAUACCUUCCUUGCCAAAUUCAUUGGGGUCACAUUACCGACUUCCCCUACACCAAGAAUCCUGGUACAUUUAAACUGACUUAACCUUCCAUUUUCCUUUCUGAGCAGUAUAAGAAUUUGGAUAUGAAACAGUGCUAAGCCCGGAAAGCCA